GGAAUAUUGGUCAAUGGACGAGAGUCUGAACCAGCCAAGUAGCGUGAAGGAUGACUGCCCUAUGGGUUGUAAACUUCUUUUAUAUGGGAAUAAAGUGAGCCACGUGUGGCUUUUUGUAUGUACCAUACGAAUAAGGAUCGGCUAACUCCGUGCCAGCAGCCGCGGUAAUACGGAGGAUCCGAGCGUUAUCCGGAUUUAUUGGGUUUAAAGGGAGCGUAGGCGGACUAUUAAGUCAGCUGUGAAAGUUUGCGGCUCAACCGUAAAAUUGCAGUUGAUACUGGUCGUCUUGAGUGCAGUAGAGGUAGGCGGAAUUCGUGGUGUAGCGGUGAAAUGCUUAGAUAUCACGAAGAACUCCGAUUGCGAAGGCAGCUUACUGGACUGUAACUGACGCUGAUGCUCGAAAGUGUGGGUAUCAAACAGGAUUAGAUACCCUGGUAGUCCACACAGUAAACGAUGAAUACUCGCUGUUUGCGAUAUACAGCAAGCGGCCAAGCGAAAGCAUUAAGUAUUCCACCUGGGGAGUACGCCGGCAACGGUGAAACUCAAAGGAAUUGACGGGGGCCCGCACAAGCGGAGGAACAUGUGGUUUAAUUCGAUGAUACGCGAGGAACCUUACCCGGGCUUAAAUUGCAUCUGAAUAAUUUGGAAACAGAUUAGCCGUAAGGCAGAUGUGAAGGUGCUGCAUGGUUGUCGUCAGCUCGUGCCGUGAGGUGUCGGCUUAAGU
rnacentral:rRNA from 1 species